UUCCAUGAACUUCUCAAAAAGAAGGCUGGGAAGCUUUCUGUCUUGAUGAUUUGAGGACCCACUGGUUUCAGAGGUGCCACAUUUGGAACCAGAUCCGAGUCUCUAAGAGUCCCCAAACUCCAAAUUCAUCCUACUCUAUUAUGCAGAACUCCAGCUCCCAAACUCAGCUCCCAGCCCACUGUUCAGGUCAGAAACCCUCCAGAUCUUCAGCUGCACAAAAAUACAUUGCAAGGAAUAGCAGCCUCCUCUCAGAAGGGAGAGAUGGAAUCUCGCUCUGUUGCCCAGGCUGGAGUACAGA